UUGUUUUUGAAUUUAAAUUCCUAGAUAAUCAAAAUAUUAAGGAAUUAAAUGAAAAUGUUUAUAAAAAAAUUAAUAUAGAAAUUAAUGGGAGAUAUAAAAUCGCAGAUAAGUUACACACCAAAUACUAUCUAACACACAUAAUGAACAUAGCAUUUGAGAAACGAAAUAUACAGUGUGUCCAGAUUUCGAUGCUCGCCAUUGGUAUAUCGGCUAUUAUAAAAGAUAGAGCAACGUUUAAAUGAGGAAGAAAUUUUUUGUUCAUAUCUUUGGGACUAUUAUCUAUUAACUUAUCAAAAAUCCAAUAUGGCUGCCAUAAGAAAAACAAAAGACAGUGCUAAUAACGUGGAAAUAAAUGCUAGACUUAAGAAAGUGUCUUAACAAUCUAAAAGUUUAAAAGCAGUUGCAUUAGGCGUUAACGGCUUAUUAUAAAAAAGUUAAAAUCAGCAAAUUUCAGUUUUUUCAAAAUAUCUCAAAAACGAAAAAAGUGAGGAUGAAUUUGAAAUAUGAUUUGUUGCGAGGAUUGAAUUCUGCGAAAUAUUCCCCAUUUAAUCGUUGCUCUAUCUCUUAUAAUAUCCGAUAUAUCAAUGGUGAGCAUCGAAAUCUGGACGCACUGUAUGGUAAUCAAAGUCACUUACGACCAAGAAGCUACAAUUGAGACCACCCACUGCUAUAUUUAUUACUUUUUUAUUCAUCGAUGCACCAGCGAUUAUUACUGAUAUUGGUGGUUUAUAAUAACAAUCUCAAAAUGGAUUAAACUUCGACUGGAACUGGUUGUACACCAAUUAAUCAGCUAUCGGAGAAUAUAGAGAGAAGAGUGCGUAAAAGUGCAACUUCAACAGAACAGUGUUGUCUCAACGCUCCCCAGUGUCGUUGAUGUGUAGUUAUUAUAACCAGAUUUCCGUUGAGUGCGACAUUUUUACCGAUACCUGGUCAUUCAUUAACAAUAAAAUCAUAGAUCAUUUCACAAUUAUUAAUCGCUAAUAUACCUUUUCGUCUUGAUUGCCAUUCAUUAUAUGUACAAUACUAUUUUUCCAUUUUGAUGUAUUCAUAUAUCUUACAAUUGUUAUCAUUACUGCCUAUUGUUUCUUUUGUAUAUUACUACAUUUCUACUUUUUUUUCUUUUCGUAUUCCUGUAAUUGGGUGGAGACCUGUUGGAAUAAAGCAUUAAAAGUUA